rnacentral:rRNA from 1 species
GAUGAACGCUGGCGGCGUGCCUAAUACAUGCAAGUCGAGCGAACGGACGAGAAGCUUGCUUCUCUGAUGUUAGCGGCGGACGGGUGAGUAACACGUGGAUAACCUACCUAUAAGACUGGGAUAACUUCGGGAAACCGGAGCUAAUACCGGAUGAUAUUUUGAACCGCAUGGUUCAAAAGUGAAAGACGGUCUUGCUGUCACUUAUAGAUGGAUCCCCGCUGCAUUAGCUAGUUGGUAAGGUAACGGCUUACCAAGGGAACGAGGCAUAGCCGACUGGAGAGGGUGACGGCCCACACUGGAACUGGGCAACGCUCAAGCCGCCUCAGGGAGGAGGCAGAAGGGAACUUCCCGAAAUGGGCGAAAGCCUGACGGAGCAACGCCGCGUAAGGGAUGAAGGUCUUCGGAUCGUAAACCUCUGUGAUUAGGGAAGAACAUAUGUGUAAGUAAAUGUGCACAUAUUGACGGUACCUACCCAGAAAGCCACGGCUAACUACGUG